UACGGAGGGGGCUAGCGUUGUUCGGAAUUACUGGGCGUAAAGCGUACGUAGGCGGCUUUGUAAGUUAGAGGUGAAAGCCCGGGGCUCAACUCCGGAAUUGCCUUUAAGACUGCAUCGCUUGAAUCAUGGAGAGGUGAGUGGAAUUCCGAGUGUAGAGGUGAAAUUCGUAGAUAUUCGGAAGGACACCAGUGGCGAAGGCGACUCACUGGACACCAACUGACGCUGAGACGGCGAAAAGCGUGGGGAGCAAACAGG
rnacentral:rRNA from 1 species